rnacentral:rRNA from 1 species
UAAUACAUGCAGUCGAGCGGACAGAAGGGAGCUUGCUCCCGGAUGUUAGCGGCGGACGGGUGAGUAACACGUGGGUAACCUGCCUGUAAGACUGGGAUAACUCCGGGAAACCGGAGCUAAUACCGGAUAGUUCCUUGAACCGCAUGGUUCAAGGAUGAAAGACGGUUUCGGCUGUCACUUACAGAUGGACCCGCGGCGCAUUAGCUAGUUGGUGAGGUAACGGCUCACCAAGGCGACGAUGCGUAGCCGACCUGAGAGGGUGAUCGGCCACACUGGGACUGAGACACGGCCCAGACUCCUACGGGAGGCAGCAGUAGGGAAUCUUCCGCAAUGGACGAAAGUCUGACGGAGCAACGCCGCGUGAGUGAUGAAGGUUUUCGGAUCGUAAAGCUCUGUUGUUAGGGAAGAACAAGUGCAAGAGUAACUGCUUGCACCUUGACGGUACCUAACCAGAAAGCCACGGCUAACUACGUGCCAGCAGCCGCGGUAAUACGUAGGUGGCAAGCGUUGUCCGGAAUUAUUGGGCGUAAAGGGCUCGCAGGCGGUUUCUUAAGUCUGAUGUGAAAGCCCCCGGCUCAACCGGGGAGGGUCAUUGGAAACUGGGAAACUUGAGUGCAGAAGAGGAGAGUGGAAUUCCACGUGUAGCGGUGAAAUGCGUAGAGAUGUGGAGGAACACCAGUGGCGAAGGCGACUCUCUGGUCUGUAACUGACGCUGAGGAGCGAAAGCGUGGGGAGCGAACAGGAUUAGAUACCCUGGUAGUCCACGCCGUAAACGAUGAGUGCUAAGUGUUA